UUCCUGAUGUUUAGUCCGAAUCUCCUUUCAUGUACCUUGAAGCCAUUGGUUUGAGUCCUACCCCCCAGAACAGGAGAAAACAAGCUCGCUCCAGCUUCCAUGUGGCAGCCCUUCAGAUAUUUGAAGAUGGCUAUCAUAUCUCUUUCAAAUCUCCUCUUUUCCAGGCUAGACAUACCCAGCUGUUUCAAC